UAAAAGUGUUUUACACUUGUAAUGCCCCAAUAGUUCCACAUCGGGUGAAAAAAUGAGUCUGAUCAGAAUAUAUGAGGCUUACACGCUAAUAAUAAUAUCUGGACUUAAACAUUUUUGGGUCGGUGGUUUGACUCAAAGAGUUAUUCUUGUUAGCGGAUCGAGUCGUUACAAUUGGUAUUAGAGACGAAGUGUGAGAGCUAAAUACUAUGCGGGACAAAGUGCUACACCGAUGGAUUCGAUGGGAGCCACCUCUUGAACCGGUGUGAAUCUCACAUCAGGCUCUAGAAUCUCACAUUGCCUGAUAAUUCUGGUCUAUCUGGUUUGGCCCCAAUAAUUUCCUAACGAGUUAUUGUUGCUAGUGGGUACUACAAGACCAAAAUAUUGCUAUUAAUUCUUUUCUUUUCUUUUUUUCAAAAUACUCAUAUUCCAAGGGAAAGUAAUUUAGGGAUACAGGGAUAAAUUUGAAAAUUUUGUACCUGCGAAACAAAAGUUGAUGGUCCCAUUUCACAAUAUUCUAAAGCUGAGGGGUCUCCGCGCACUUUUACCACCCUCAUCCAAUCCUAAUACGAAUUAGAUCACGACUAAUAAUAAUAAUAAUUACUAAAAUAAUUAAAUUUAUUAGUCUUUUCGCACGAUUUCGCUAGGGCACGCUUUUUCUCGUCGGAAAAAAGAAAAAAGAAAAAACAAAGGGGAGAAAAAGAAAAAGAAAAAGAAAAAGAAAAAGAAGAGAGGUUUCCUCUUUUCUUUUCUUUUUUUUAAAUUUUUUGUGCGCGUGUGUGAAUUUUAGGGUUCGUAAUUUUUGGGUUAAUGGCUUCUGGGAGAAGCAGCAACAAUCCGAAGCGGCCGCAGUUCUUCAAAGUGCUUCUUCCUGGAUCUUUCGACAAGUUGGUGCGUUUCCUCUCUCUCUCUCUCUCUCUUUUUUUUCUAUUAUAAUAUUUCUUUUUCUUUUUUUUUUAUUGUUUUAAUCUUUGGAUCUUGUGCACUUUACUCUGUGGGAGAGAUCUUUAGAUUUUUGUUGUAUUUUUUUUUUUAUUCAAUGUGUGUGUGAGAGAGAAAGAGAUUAUCUAGACAAAUAAUAUUUUUAGGUAAAAGUGUAGUGAGAGCCCCUCAAGUUUAGGCGUUCCUGAAACAAGUCCCUCAACUUUUUUUAUUUUUUUAAAAAAUUUGUUUGGUUGAAUUAGACUUCUGAUUCUCCAACUGUGUGGCCGGGCACACUUUGUUCUGCAAAUUUUAAUUUAUUGUAAUUAUUUUCUCAAAUUUUUUGAUGUGUUGUUUGAUGUGACAUCUUAGUUAUUGUGAGCUCUGACUUUGAACUGCAGGACUUGUAAUAAUCGACAAUAAGUUUUAACCAAAGUUUGAGGACCAAAAGUGCAAUUUACUUACCUGUUGUUUGAAUUGAUAUCCCUUUUAACUUUCUAAUUUUUUUUAGCUAUUGUGUCUAAGAUAACAAUAUUUUCUUAAAUUUAGUAGCUUUGUUAGCUAUUAUUUGUUAAUUGUUUGAGUCUUAUUUGUUGCAAAGUGAUUAAAACCAUCGAAUUUAAGGACACCAUCAAUGAAUUUGAUAAAAUUUCUAAUUUAAUUGAUCGAAAUCGCUUAAAUCUACGAAAUCUAAAAUUAAGAUGAUGUUGAUCCCGAGAGGAUGUUGUAGAUUGUGACCCUACUCACAUACAGUUUAAUUCGUAUCUAAAGUCUAAUUCGAAUCAGAAUAACGGCCUCAAUCCACUUAAGUAAUACAGAUGAAACUACAGAGCACUGAUGUAACAAACACGACCCUCUCUGAAGUUUACAGACGAAAUCACAGACCACGUAAGUGAUACAGACGAAAUCACAGACCACCGAUGCGAUAACACAUGACUCUUUUUGAAGUUUACAGACAAAAUUUGUCGCGGUUUCUUGUGAAGGAAAAUGCGUACAACGUCAUGUAGCGCAAUUUGCUUAUUCUGUUCUUUCUCAUAUUCUGACCAUGUUGGUUCUUAAUUUAUGUCUCAGAUGACAGUAAUAAGUAAACAGUUGCUUAUGAUGUUCUUUUGCAUGUAGUGGAUUCCUCGAUCAUUCGCGGAUCAUUACAUAAAUGAGGAUUGUCGGAAGGCCACGUUGUAUAGCCCUCUUGGCAAGUUUUGGCACGUCAACCUCGAGCGCAGCAACGAAUCAAAUGAUGUUUUCUUUGGCGGCGGUUGGCGGGAAUUUGUCAGAGCCCACGACAUAAGAGUGGGCUACUUGGUCGUGUUUCGCCACGAAGGAAACAUGAUCUUCACUACCAAAGUUUUUGAUUUGAGUGGAUGCCUCAAAGCGUACGAUGAGACUACUUUGAAUCAUGCGGGCCAAGUACUAACAGAUAUCGAUGAUGGCAACAUUAACGUCACCACAAAUAGUAAGUCUAUGUCUUUUCCUUUUUAUUUAAUCUGUCGAACACUUAUUUCGGGCCAAUAACAAAGUCGUGUGUUAAUCUCUUCUCGCCAUGCAAUAAUAUCAGAUCAUUCAGAAAGGGCACGGAGAUACAACUUCAAAAAAAGAGGAUCUUAUAAGCCAAUUUCACCGACUCCAAACCAACUAUUUCCUCACUACAAGAACAAGCUAAGGAACCAUUCUCACCUCACAAAUUCAUCACCUCAAUUUGAGAAGACGGUGCGACCGUAUAAUCUUGUUCGCAAAUGCAUGGUAAGGGUUUCAGAUUCUCACUCAAAAACCUUUUAAAACAAGAAUGGUUUAUGCUUAUGAAGACAACUUGCUCUGUAUUGUAUUGUGCUGAUCUGCAGAAUGUACCAGAAACAUUUUGUAUGUUGAGCGGACUCCAGGAUAAGACCGUGAUCAAGCUCCGAGAUUCGAGGCACAGAUCGUGGCCUGUGAGCUUUCAUCGUUAUCCUCAAUUUGCGCAGCUUAGGAAGGGGUGGGAAGAGUUCUGCGAGGGAAAUAACUUGAAGGAAGGUGACAAGUGCUUCUUUCGACUUGUAUCAAAAAAGGAAAUGCAUGUUAGAAUAGUGAGAAAUUGAGCAAGGAUAAGUUUUAGUUACCCUUUUUGGUGUGUAUAGAGUUACUCUCUUUAGCUGCUUCCUCUCUCUAAUCAUAGUUCGGAUGCGGUGGGAUGUAGAACUCUAAUUUUGUUCGUGUUCGAUCUCAUAAAGUUUUAGUUACGGCUUUUGUGUGUAUAUGAAAUUACUACUCAUAUUACGACACUUCUUCCUCUCUAUAAUCAUGGUUUACUGUAUGCUAGGGAUGAUAGAACUUAAUUUUUCUCUUCGAUAUCUGUUGUCUUUUGUUAGUAGAAAGGACUCUUAAGCGGAGUUUUGUCAACUUCAAUUCUUCUUGCAAGUUUGCUUAAUCUUUUUUUAACACUUUUCUUCUUUUAUAAAUUUGGCUUGGCCAUAUAAAUAUAACCUCCAGAAUGAUGUGGAAUAGUGAGAAGUUAAACACUGGCCUCUGGUUUUAUAGAAUGCCUUGUUGGUAGGGUGCAUUGGUGUUCUUUUUCAAUCAUAAUUCAUAUAUAUGUUUAAGGGUUUUAGUCCCAAAUUUGAGUUACUUAUUGUGUUUUUUCAGCACUUCAUCAAUGUGAUGGCUCUUAAGUUAUGCAUGUUGUUAGCAAACAAAAGAUUACUUUGCAAAUUUUCUUUCAUCUUAUUUCCUUUUCUCUUUCCAUGAUUGUUGCAUUCCUUGGAAAAGGAACUCCAAAUGAAGAUCAUUUGAAUCAAUGGGGCUGUUUGGUUCCAUGUAAUUGUAACUACAUUGUAGUGUGUUUGUGUGCAAAAUCCAAAUAGAGUGUUUGACUUGAUGUAAUUUGAAUUCAAUUGCUACAGUUGAAACUGUAUAAGGAGGCUUAAUUGCAGUAGUUAAAAUUAUAUCCAAAUAGGUUGCAGUUCGAACUGCUGUAGUUGAGGAGAGUUUGUUUAAUCAAAAAAUAAGCUUGUUUUCCUAAUCACCUUCUAAAUGGAAGAAUAUGUAAAUAUAAUUCUAGUACUAAUCAUGCAUGAUCAUGGUUAUAACAGAGUUUGUAAGGCUUUUGCUAAUGUCACAGCAUUUUCCAGUUGCCGCAUUGCUUUUCUCAUCUUCAUUGUACUAAUUUUCUCCAAAAAAUUUGAGAAAUGUUUAUUAAACUUAAAUUUAAAUCCCCAAAAAUGUAGAUAAAACAAAUGCAUAAUAAGUAAAAAAUUUAAAAAAGAAAUUGAGUUUGGUUCUCCAUUAUAAUUAAUUAAAAUUAAGCAAUUGAUUAUGUUUUUACUAAUCAUUGCUUUUUACAUCACAUGUAUUUUCUUGUACUUGAAUUUUCUACUGAAAAUUUAACUUACAUGAUUUACAAAUUCUAACACCACAUGAAAAAAAGAAAGCAUACAAAACAGGCAAUUAGUUCAAACUAAAUAUCCCACUAACCAAAAAUGUGGCACAAUUAUGAAAGUUAAAAAAACUUUAAAACUUCAUCUUCGCCCUAUUUUAAUCUUGAAAUAUGAUUACAAAUAUGUGGAACAACAAAAAAAAGGCGCAAAAAAAACAGGUUUUGAAACAUACUGGCACCAAUCUUGCACCACUGUGAUGAGAGUUGCAGGUUAGAUGUGAAAAUACAUCAGGGAACAUACCAUGCCCAACUAUUUAUUUAUUUAUUUACUUUUGCCGCAUCGAAAGAACCGAAGAGAAAACAAAAUGUAACUAAAAGGUCAUGUAGUUUAUUGAUCCUNNNNNNNNNNNNNNNNNNNNNNNNNNNNNNNNNNNNNNNNNNNNNNNNNNNNNNNNNNNNNNNNNNNNNNNNNNNNNNNNNNNNNNNNNNNNNNNNNNNNAGGAGUAGAAGAGAUUGAAAUACAAAUCGUGUAGUAAAAUUUGGGUUGAUGGUCCUUGUUUGAUCUACUCUGUCUCUCAGGAAGCACGAGUGCCGUCCGUGCUCUGAGGUAUGUGAUUGUCCGUUUCGAUAUGAUGUUUUUUGAAGUCGACGAUCGUGGCCUGCCGUUAAAUCUUGAUCUACGAUUAAAGCUUCUAAAAAAUAAUUUGUUGCGAUUCUUUCGAUAUCAUUUAUCUAUGCAAUCGAAAGGAUUCAAAAUCCAUAAUUUUUAAUGCAGGCUGAUAAAUAAAAUCACUAUAAAAAAGUGUGUGAUAUAGCAAAAAUUUUCGAUCAAGAAAUAUUAAGAUCUUGUUGUAAUAAUAGAAAUAAAGAAUUUUCUAUCAAAUAAUUCAUAGCGUGAUUUGAGAAUACUUCUACACCGUUAAACUUGAAAUACGGGCAUAUAUCAGCAUUAAAAAUUAUUGGACUUUUGAAUCUUAUCCAUUGCUAGAUAAAUUAUAAUCGAAAACUCGAAGCAAAAUUAUUUUCUAGAAGCUUCAAAUUCGCUAAUCCAGUCUAACGAAAGCCGACGUCGAUUUCGAAAAUUCCAUCAUCGAAAACGCUCAAGGAGCACGGAGGCCCUCUGUGCUCCUGAGAGCACAGUACCCUGGCUAUAAUAUAUAUAUAUAUAUAUAUAUAUAUAUAUAUAUAUAUAUAUAUAUACGAGUGAGCUACUAUGGCAUCCGAAGCAUGGGACCGUUCCCCGGCUUCCAGCUCAGUUCGAUGUGGGACUUCGAUCUGUCGUAUCGGAUCUGUUAAAUCUUGAUCUAGAGUAUGUUAAUACCUAGAAAAUAAAUUUUAUUCAUUUUUGAUAAGUCAUUCUGCCUUAGUGAUCGAAUGGGCUAAAAUCCAAAUUUCAACAAUGGCCGAGUGAGCCGUUUGCAAGUUUAAGGUGUAGAAAUAUUCAAAAUACGUAAAAUUUAAUAAAGAAAAUCCUUUUAACUACAUAAACAGAUCAAUUAUCUUUGAUUUAAAUUUUAGAUAUCAUAAUUUGAUUUUACAUUUGUAAGAUUUAUUUCAGCCGUGAUUUUGAGCCCCUUCGUUCACUAGGCCAUAUGAUAUCCUGGUAAAAGUCAUAAAAUUUAUUUUCUAACUACUUCAAUACUCUAGAUCAAGUUUAACGGAGCCGAUUCGACGAUUUCGAAAGUCGCAACAUCGAAAACUGAGCUGGAUAGCACCGAAGGCUCGUGCUUCGAUAGCAUGUACCCCACUCUAUAUAUAUAUAUAUUAUAUAAUAUAUAUAUAGUGUUAGACUGACUUACUAUUAGUAGCCAAAAUCCUAAUUGUUGCUAUAAAUUUUUUACCUUUGAUCAACCUUUUCUUAUUUCUUAACCAAUUGAUUAAAUACUAUAACCAGUGGGGACCCUCACAAACACUCACUCUAACCGACUAAUAUCAUUUUGACCGCUAUCAAUUUUUCAUCCAACGGUUAAAAAUUUGAAUUAGCAAAAAGAUGCGUUUACUAUUAAUAGUAUUCCAGCCUAAUAUCAUAUAUAGCUAUAUAUAUAUAUAUAAUAUAACUAUAUAUUAUAUAUAAGCCAUUUAACUGCACGAACAAAUUGAAAAUAUAUAAAUUUGAGGCCUGAUUUAAAAUUAGAAGAAAUAUUGAUAAAUAAAUUCAUACUUCCAUAACAUUUAAAAAUAAAAUUUAAAUUUAAUUUAUUAAAUCCGACAGGUGUACCUUCUCAAAACGCGAGUCAUUGCGGAGGAGACGACCUCAUCUCCUCCCUUUCUCGGCGGCGCUCGUCCCACCCCGUCGCCGAACCGACUAGAUCCGUCCAACCCCCCCCCCCGCCCCCCCCUUCUCCACCACACCCUCCCAUCUAGCGCGCAUGCCUCGCCGAACUACGUGCGCCUCUGCCUACGGUUUCCGCCUCUGGCAUCCAUAGGCGAGUUGACGACCUUGAUGUAGGGAGCAUCGCUAGGGUUCAGCGCGGGAUUCGGCGCGGACGAGGAGAAGGAACGAGGAGGGAGGAGCUGAGUUGCGGACGCUGCUCCGGAGCAUCGCCUGGGUUCUCGAUGAUGAUGAUGAUGAUGAUGAUGAUGCGAAUUUGUGGCGGGAAUCGGGUGAGGGAAGCCCUAGACUCAUCUCUGAUGACAAUUUUAGCCUUGAGGAAGAAUUAGGGCUCGAUUUGGAUUCCGUCUCCGAUUUCAUGGAGGAGGAGGGGGGAAUUGAUGGCGAUGGCGUUGAGGAAUCGGCGCCGGAGUUGGAGUCGAUGCAAAAUGGCGGAUCGGGAGAGGAGGAUUCGAUGGAAAGAAGAAGAGGAAGAGAGAAUCGUGAGAUCGAGUUUCGCGACACCCUGCUCCGGAACGUACUGUGGGUUCUCGAUGAUGAUAAUGAUGAGGAUUCAUGGUCAGAAUCGGGUGAGGUAAACCCUAGACUCGUAUCCGAUGAUAAUCUCUGUUUCCGCGAGGAAGAGUUAGGGUUACACUUGAAUUCCGAUUCCGAUUUCCUGUCGGAGAACGAGGAGGGGGAGGGCGACGGCGGCGAGGUGGAGGAAUCGGUGUCGGAGUUGGAAUCGAUGCAAGAAGCCGAACCGCGUGAGGAUAGCUGUAGGUGUGAGGACCAUUUCCUUUGCGAGUGCCCGCGGAGACGGAUCAUAGGGUUCGAAACUGAUUCUUAUUCUUGUUCGGAUAUUGGGCAUGUAUUAUCAGAUGAAGCAACAGAUGUAGAGCUGGAGGACGAGGAAUCGGUCGCAGGGAUGGAAUCAAUACAAGAAGAUGAAUCAGCAGAGGAUAGUUGUAUAUAUGAAGACCAUUUCCUUUGCGAGUGCCCGCGGAGACAUAUUGUAGGGUUCGAAACAGAUUCCUUUUCUGUUUCCGAGAGUGUCGUAUCAGAUGAAGAGGCCGACUCGGAGCUGGUUUGCAUUGGCACGGAAGAAUCAGUCUCGGAGUCGCAAUCUCUGGCAGAUGAAGCAGCGGACUGGGAGCAGGAGGACGUCGAUGGCUCAAUGGUUGGGUCUGAUGCAGAGGAGUCGGUCUCGGAGUUUGAGUGGAUGCAAAGAGGAGACUUGGCCGGCGAAAAUUGUACUUAUGAGGACCAUUUCCUAUGCGAGUGCCCGAUGAGACAGAUCAUCGGGUUUGACUCAGAUUCAAAUUGCGAAUCAGAGGUUGAGCCUACCAUGUCAGAUGAGGAGGAGGAUUCGGAGCAGGCCGAGAUCGAUGCCCGUUUAGACGAGUGGGGGGAUGUGAUCAGUACGAUUUUCAACACUGACAUGGAGGAAUCGGAGUUGGGUUCAGAAUCACCACAGAGAGAAGAACCAGCCAAUGUAGAUCUUCCGGAUCAAAAUAUCGUACGGCUUUUUGAUGAUUCGGCCUCAGAGUUGGAGUCGACGCGAGGAGAAGAAGACCUAGACAGUGCUUAUUUAUCACUGCUUGCUCUUGAGCUUCGGAGACUCACAUUCGCUCUUCGGAGUGAUGAUGACGUACCUAUAAGUGGAAGCCGACGGGCGGCUUGUAAGUUGGUAGUUGAGCGCCUCCCUUCGGUCCUUCUCGUGGCUGAGGAUCGUGGGGAGGCGGACGACGACAUGCUUUGCGUGGUCUGCGACGACGAGAUUUCUUUAGGCGAAUGGGCGACGCUGCUGCCGUGUUCUCAUUAUUACCACGGGGAGUGCAUCUUGCCGUGGCUUAAGAUUCGGAACACAUGCCCGAUGUGUCGCUAUGAGCUGCCCACAGAUGCUGAUUAUGCUAAUGACUAUUUUGACUUGUUUUCCAGCGUUUAAUUGUCCGUGACAGCCAGAGGUGAUUAUCUCAUGCCCUCACUCUGAGAGUCAUCAGAGGGAAGAAAGGUUCACUUGCCGGAAAAAAAUGGCGAUAAAGGUUUGCAAUGUAGUUAUUUGGGAAUUGGAUUCUAAAGAUACUUAAAUGCUUUUGUUCAUACAUACUCCAUAAAUGCAUGCAUUCGUACAUCUUUUCUCGAUUCAGAAUGAUUAGCAUGUAUAUUACUGUAAAAAAUUAUAUGUUCUGUUACUGUGAAGCUAUGUGUUCUGUUAUUGGAAAGUUAUAUAUGUUCUCUUAUAUCAAUAUGAAAACCUCACCUUGUAGAUAUGAUAUAUAGGCUAGAGCUACUAUACUCUUAUGAGUAUAGAGCCCUUCGUAUUUAUAAGUUGUUUUUGAUGAUGGGGCUUCCGAAUCGACGAUCCACUCUGUUAAAUAUGAUCUAGAGUAUUUGAAACUUCUAGAAAAUAAAUUUCGUAAUUUUUCUUAAUCAUAAUAAAGUUCAUCAAGCGGGUAUAAAAUGAACGGUCGAAAUCGAAUGACGUCUUAAAAAUGGAUGAUCGGAUCCUUCAAUUUAAGAUCGGAGUUAUUGAUCUUCAUCUAUGUAGUGAAUAGAAUUUUCUAUCAAAAAUUCAGCCGAUUUCGAUUCUUUUACACUGUUAAACUAGCAAAUAUACUAUACCGGCCGUUAAAAAUUGUCAAUUUUGUGACCUUUUGAUCAUAAGGUAAAUGAUAUCGAAAAAUUAUAAAAUUUGAUUUCUAGAUGUUUUAAAUGCUCUAGAUAAUGUUUAACGGUGUGGAUCGUCGAUUCGGAAGCUCUAUCAUCGUAAACAACUUAUGAGUGUACAAGGGCGAUCGUACUCAUAAGAGUAUAGUAGCCGGACUCAUGAUAUAUAUAUAUAUAUAUAUUUUUGAUGGUUCUCUUUCCUAAUAUUUGUAGGAGAACAUGCAUUUGCAAUGCCCAGGUUGUACAAUGUUAAAUAGGGAAUACAUGUUUGAGAUUGUAUAUUUGCUACAAGAGUAAUCUCUUCAGAUAUUGAACGCCUUUUCAGAUUAUCAUCUUCGUCGUGUUAUUAAGAAAAUCAAUCACAUGUUGAUUCAAGUGUUUUUGGUCUACUCUUGUAGAAAAAUGCCGAAACUUCGAACCAGAUACGGCUAGUGUUUCUUGGAAAAACUUGAUUAUUAUCGCGCUACAUGUUUUUUGCCUGCAUAUAGAUUCUGGUUGAUGUUUGUAGCUUUCUAUCGAACUUUUUGCUCCCUGCGAUUUGAGUUCUUUAGUGGAUGUUUUCUAAUAACUCUCAUGUUUCAUUCUUGUCUCUGAAGAUCUCUAUUAACCAAGCUAAUGUUUAUCAUCAUCUACUGAGAUCGAGAAAAAGCCAUUAGAUGCUCUGCCUAGCAUUUCAAACAAUUGAAGCUAAAUGAGAUGGUGAUGGGCAACCAUUGUGUAUACUAUUUGCAUCCAUUAUGAAUGCAUGAACACAUUAUGUGGAGAUGGAUCCUAACAUAAUUGUGGUAGCACUAAGCUCUGUUUUUUUUUCUUGGGGUACCUUCAUUUACUCAUUCUUUAACUCAUUUGCCGGACAUUUUUAGAGUAAUUACUUGCCCUGAACUUCCACUCAAAAUUUUAAAUUUGAUAUUUGAGACCCUGAACUUUCAACAAUGUUUUAAUUUAGGAAUAUAUAUAUUAUUGUAGCUCUUACCUUAGAGUAAAUAUUAUUUUGCUUGGACCUAGUUCUUCAUAUGUUCAUGCACCGUAAAUUCCACCAUCUUCAUCCAGUUGAUGAUACCUUCAAAGCAAGGAUCCAAUUUCUAAAUAAUGAAAAGAUUGUUGCUCAAUUGACAGUAAGGUCCCUAACUUUCUAAUUGUUGUAAUUAGGUUCUUGACCUUUUACUCGAGUUUUAACUUCGUCCGUAUCCUCAUAAUUGUUGCAAUUUGUGUUGGAUUAAAUGGGCUAGUAUAGUGGAGGCCGGAUUGGAUAAAGUCAUGCGAAGUUUGCGAGCACUGUGUAUUUAUUUAUAAACUUUAAGCGUGAUGGGUGCGUCCUUUUGUUUUCAAUUCGAGCUUUUGGAAUUGUUGGUUUAAUUUUACGUGUGAUGAAUGCUUUUUCUUUUUCUUUUUUUUUCUUUUUAUUUCCUUCAGUUGCAGCUUUUGAAAUUGUUGGUAGUGUUUAAGAUCCACACCCUAGCUUCAAUUGACUUUGUAGCCUUUACAAAAUUAACAGUAGAGGAACUGUCCCCCAAAAUUAUAAUUUGCUAAAUAAUUCUGUCAAAAUUUUAAUUUGCAAGCUGGCUCUAUUUUGUCCAACUCAGCACCAUGAUAGAAAGAAAAGUGAAAGGCCUCCUCUAACUUUCAUUCGGAUCACCACUAUCAUUUUUAGGAUUUUUAUGCGCGAUGUUAGGAAAGAUAAAUGUUCAGAUAUAAAAUAUUUUAUAGUGAAAAAUUUUCAGAUUACCACUAUCAUUUUUAGGACACAUAGCAACAGUAGUUUCAAGCAACACAUGAAGCACAAAUCCUAUAUCUUUCUAACAUCUCGCUUCACUAUAGAUUGCAACAACACACAUCACUCAGUAAGAAGCUCCAAACCCUAAAGUCAGCUAUUAGACCUCCUCAGCUCUUGUUAUUAUUGUUGCUGCUCUUUCCCUUCACCUCGAAACCCAGAUAUUCUGUCGAAACUGCGACUAUUCAGUUUCCUAUUGAGCAGCAAAAGUGCCGCCUUCUGUCCUUUUAUCGGACUGAUUCCCAGCGCGGGAGAGUAGCUCGUCGGGGUAGCAUAAGCAGUUUCAAAUGGAGUGCCUGAGACAGGCUUUACCGAGUGCGACGAAGUAGUGAUAACUUUAUUGUUGUGAACAAUUGAGGGAGAACUGAUCCGCAUGCCUCUACUCAAGCCGUCUACGUAAAAAAGCAGAUCAGAUCGUCGAUGCAUGCGAGCUACAAUGUUAGAGGCAAGGCUUUCCAGCACUCGUGAAUAGCUUUCUAGGACGGACUUUUUCCGACAUCCAUCCUGCAAAUUUAAGCCAAACAGAAAAGAACUUUCGAGUCAGCUCAUAUCAAUUUAGUCUUGAAGCAAAGCAGGAGGCCCUCGGCUCUCUCGGCAAGCAACUCUGUUUUCUCUGCAUCUAUGAUCAUAUCUUUCACCAUGGCCCAACAUGAUUUAGCUCUACUCAGGCUUCUGUGUUGUUGUUCAUUGGCUUGUUAGUUGUUGUUCUCCGACGCCAAAUAUAAAUCGAUGCCUCCGCACGAUUGGCAAUUUCUAAAGCGUGGUGUUCGGAGGACAAAUCGAGGCGAUCGAGAAGGCAUUCCGGAAAGAAUUGAUCGCAAGUGAUGUAACGGUCGGUAUAUCAGGUCACCGAGGCUCGCUCUGCCAUUCUGGUAUCAAGGAACAAAACACAACUUUAGUCAGACUGUAACAUAAAAUAAAAGCUACUAAAAGAUUCCAAAAUGGCGGAUACGAUGUGAAAGAUAACAUAAUUGCUAUAGAGAAAAGAGAAUCAAAUCAACAUUAUCAAACAAGUAGUCCUCAACCUAACCAACAAGUCUUUUUCGCACACGCUUGAAGAUUCAUCUACUUUUAUAUAUAUAUAUAUAUAUAUAUAUAUAUAUAUAUAGGCCAUGGCUACUAUACUAUUAUGAGUAUUGGAGCCCUCGUACUCAUAAGUUGUUUUCAAUGAUGGAGCUUCCGAAUCGACGAUCCACUCCGUUAAAUAUAAUCUAGAGUAUUUGGAACUUCUAGAAAAUAAAUUUCAUAAAUUUUCGAAAUCAUAAUAAAGUCCAUCAAGUGGGCAUAAAAUGAACGGUCAAAAUUGAACGACGUUCUAAAAAAGAAUGAUCGGAUCCUUCAAUUCAAGAUCGGAGUUAUUGAUCUUUAUCUAUAUAGUGAAUAGAAUUUUCUAUAAAAAAUUCAACAAAUUUCGAUUCUUUUAUACCGUUAAACUAGCAAGUAUCCCAUACCGGCCGUUAAAAAUUGUCAAAUUUGUGACGUCUUGAUAGUAAGGUAAAUGAUGUCGCAUAAGGUAAAUGAUGUCGCAAAUUAUAAAAUUUGAUUUCUAGAAGUUUUAAAUACUGUAAAUAACGUUUAACGGUGUGGAUCGUCGAUUCGGAAGCUCUAUCAUCAAAAACAACUUAUGAGUACGAGGGCGAUCGUACUCAUAAUAGUAUAGUAGCCGGACCCUAUAUAUAUAUAUAUAUUAUAAAAAGUAUCAUUAUUUGUUACUUGCAGUCGGGGUAUCAUCCAAUUCGUAUGGAAAGUUUUUGGUGAGUUCAAGGUUGUAUGAAUGGUGGAAAUUCAAGUUUUUGAGUAAAAAAUAUGCAAGGAGAUAACUCUGCAGAGGGCAAACAUCUAAAUAUCUCAAGGCAAACCUUUGGUGGUAAGGACUCAAUAUACGACUCGGGAACAUCAAUUUCCACCAAAGCAUUGCUCUAUUUAUAGCCAUGGCGGCCUUCAAAAUCUGGUUCGUGCACUCGCGUUUGUGCUGCAAUUGCUUUUUUGUACCCUCACUAAGACCCCCAGGAGGCACCCGGGGUACCGGCAACCACCACUUCUCAUCGCGGCGAUGAAAAGCUCUUCGAAAGGAGGCCGAACCAUCGCAAUCCGGUGCAGAAAUUCCUUGAUCAACGUACCAGAAUUCUGGUUCAUUGAAAAAUUCUGGUUCAUUGAAACUAUCCGGUACAUCCUGUAAUGAAAGAAACUAAUCUGAAUGACCCUACAAAGGUUUAUAUUUGCUACAUUAGGGGUGUUACUAUGCUGCAGUUCUUACGAGGAGCAUGUUGUCUAACUUCCGAAGCGCUGGCAGGUUUGCAUAUAAAUCUCGGAUCGCGGUCUGCAUGUCAUGACCUGAAAUCGAUUUCAGCAAGAAGUUUAAUCACUAUCAUGUAGCAAAGGUUUGUAUCCUUAAUACAAAUUAUGACUUCUUUUUUUUUAUAAAGGAAACAGAUUACAGGCUAAAUCAAUCGCGGGAAACUUCUUUAUAAAUUAAAAGAAUUCAACUAACAAAAAGAACUUUUAAUAGUAAAUUUGACAGAACGCAGCAUAGUUGGUUAGAUAAUUAUAACAAAAUUACCUCAAGCUUGCUUCCAUCAGGAAAUGUUUACGUUUGCCAUGUGGGAAAAAAUUCGACUAUGUGAUCACUAACACAAAUAAGCCACUCCAUUUCUCUUUGCCACAUUGACUUCUUUUCGGGAGGAAGAGGCUCCAACCUCCACAAUUGCCCAAAUAUUGUUGCUGAUGGGGACAGUAAAAUGAACAAGAAAAAUUUAUAAGAUCUCACAGAGAUAAUUUUUCGAAUAUAUAUAUGAUUUUAUGAAGAAACAACCUUAGGAUAUUAAAAAAAUUACCACAGAGAUUAGUAAUAGCAUUUGAAAUGGCCAAUGCUGUACACACCCCCUUGCCGCAGCCCGACAUGUCCUCUCCAAGUAGCAAUUUGGAGAACCUCUCCUUCAUCAUCUCAAUUUCUGAUUAAGUACAAAAAUAAGCCUCAAUACAUAACCAAUUUAUAUAUAAAAAAAAAGCAUAUAUCUAGGGGCUUAAUUAGAAGAAGUGUAAAGGCUAACAUGGAAACCUAAAAUUACUCUCUAGGCUCAUAAAACUCUAGCACUUUACAACAAUUUGGUAAUAAACUAAGGAAUUAUUUAUGUGCAAUGCCUAAAAUAUGAGAAUAUGAGAAAUUAUAGAGAUAUCCAAUACCUGAAAGAUUUCGCUUCUGCUUCUCUACUCCUGCAUCAUCCUCAUGGAUUUUCUCAUUCCCAUCCACUGCAUCCAAGCUCGAGCCCUUCUUCUUCAUGGGCCAACCCAACUCCUCCGACGGCUUCGCCGACCCCUCUGAUCGACAAAAGCUCUGCGGGUGGUCUCCACUCGACGAAUUCUCCGAGCUCGAACUGCUCCCGCGACACUCCUCCUCUGUUGAAUCGCUAUAACAAUCUCCUUCCCCAACAAUGGCUUCUCCCAAUCUCUCCAUCCUAAUCCCCUCUGCUUCCCCAAACAGAGGACGCUCCCUGACAACACUAACUCCUCCCCAAAUUUCUCACCAAGAUUGGAUUUUUCACAACAAACCCAUCUGGGUACGGAGCUUCUUCGGGGGAUCUAGAGACCCAGAAGCUCAGAAGCGAAAUGGGUUUGAAGUGGCGGGUUAAUGGGAGACAGAGCUUGUUGGGGUCCCCAAAUUUUAACAACAAAAUAUUUUAACUAUUUAUUAUGUAUUUUUAUCAAAUCUUAUAUACUUUAUUGAAAAAAUUACUUACUAAUUUAAAAAAUAAAUAGUUUUAAAUUAUGCCAUCGGCGCAAGAACUAUAUCGUGCCGAUAUCUUAUUAAUACAAUAUGACAUGGUAAAUACAAUCCAUGCCAAUGAACACUUAAAUUCUUAUUAUAAAUUCUGCAUGAAAUGAAGCGCGACAACAUUCAAACUUUGCAGUACAAGCAUUACCGCUGUAAAAGCUCAGUUAUUAGAAUUAUAAAUUUUACACGAAAUCGAGUGCAAAUUUAAAAUUAUGCGUAGAAUUAGGAAUUAUACAUGAGACCUACUGCAUCCUUAAAACUUGUCAGUCUGAGCUUUAUCCGCCGGUGAUGAACGUACACGGAAAAGAAACUGUAUAUGUUUGUCUGCACGUAAUGGUGUGGAUUUUGAUAAAAGCAUAGAAACAAUUCGUGUUGUUACACGUGCAACCUGAAAAAGACGGGUUCCACUCAAAAAACUGAAAGAGAAGAGUAAAGCUUGCAUGUGCAACCUGUUAGAGGAUGAUACGACGGUCAGAUUGAAUCUGGCAAAUCAGCAGAAACGGGAUCUUUAACAAAGAAAAGUUGCCCAGCACUCUAAUUUGGAAUAGUUUUUUGUUAAGUUACUAUAUACGCAUACUAUCCAGAGGUUGCAAAGUUCUAUGCUCAGUAGCAAUAAUAGCGAGUAGGCUACCAAUUUCUUAGCAAAAGCCUACUACCAUAAAGAAAUUUUGCUUGAUUCAAAACUUGAUGCCCUUGCAUUUCCUAAAAUAGGAGAAUUUUAGGAAACACAACAAAGGGAAGAGAAUUACCAUCGUCUGUCAUGACUGAAGAUUCUACUCCAGAAACUCUUCCAUCAGACCCUAAUAUUUUAAACAAGAGUUCAGUAUUAGGAAGAAACGUAGACAUUGAGAUGAGGCGAACUCUGCAGUAACAAACCUGGGAUAUAAAUUGCUCAGCAUCUGUACGCCUAAGAAAAUGCAGUGAGUGCUUAGUCAGAGAUAUCGAAUGAUCGCCGAGACAAACUUCUCCGAUGUCAUCAAGUACCCUAACACGGAUAUAAGGAUCCUUGGGAGGUACCAUAUCCUACAAAGUCCAUGUUCUUCCUUUAGGUGGUUUAACAUAUAUACCCUAGCAAAAUUAUCUAUUUAAACCUAUACCAUCGUAAAAUCUCAACUUCGAUACUCCUCACAAGCAUAGCUAAUUAUGAAAAUACCGUUAUUGUGAGUUGAAGGGUAAUCUCAUUCAUGAGGGAAGGUUAAUGUUUUAUGAGAACAAGUUUUUUAAGGAGGGCUAGUUUUAUUAAGUAUGAUGGUAUAUACGUAAAAAAUUAAGUUUUUCAAGGCAUAUCUGAAAAUUCAGAUUUUAUAGACAUAUAUGAAUAGAUGAUUUUGCGGGGAAUGCGAAUGUAAAUACCUCAUUCAUUUAUGAUUGAAAAAUAUUUGGUUCUUAGGCAUGAGAACGAUAAGAAGGUUAAAGAUACCACAGUCAAAUCCAGAUCUAGCUCGGACAUGUAGGACUCUAUGGCAGCAGAGUGACUUUUGAAAUACUCUUCCUCAGAAUAAUUGAGUUUUUCUUGAAUUUCUUGGGGAAGAACAGGACCCACUUUCCAUCUGAAGCUCUGAAUGACUUCUGCGCGGUUGUACCUAUUUGGAUGUAAUAGCUUUAGUCAGUAUUAAUUUAACAAAGAUUUAUUAUAUGGAGGUAAAGCUUGGACAUGUAUGAUAACAAUAAAAUUUGGAGAAAAAAAUCAUUCAACCAGGGAAGUACUCUUCAAUCAUGUGCUUACAUGUAAGCCAUGAGACAUCUUUUGUUACGGGUUAAAGAAAGAUGAUGUAUAACUGCACCAAAGUGAUCCUCAUUUCUAGUCGUUUGUAUGUCUAAGUUCUGAUCCUCGAUUUUCCUACCACAGAAUAGAAGAAUUAUGUAGUUAGCAAACCCAAAAUAUGUGUGCUAUUUUUUUUUUUUUGAAGCAAAAGAGUGGUAAAUUAUCAAGAAAAAUGAUCUACACAACACGAAGAUAAUACUUUUGGGCACACUACUCAUAUACAUCCUUUUUUGUCAAAGACAAGGUAUACGUUGAACAGAAAAACCAUGUGAAUCACCUGAUCAACGACUGAAGCUGCAGAUUAUGCUUGUUACAUUCCUUAGUGACUUGAUCAAAUGAAUCACUCUGCAUGUCCAAUUAGACAGCAUUGUUAAUCGUUGCACCAAGUAAGCUAUGGUUAAUCAAAAUUUCUUUGAUACAAAAUGAUCAAAAUCAAUUAACUUUGUGACACAUGUAAUCCAAAUGAAAAAUAAAAACAAUUUAUUUCCACAACAAUCAGAACUCAUCGCCACCGCAAGGACCCAAAAAGGUUACAGCUGGGAUCUUGAAACUAAAACAGUUAUAACAAGUAUUCUUUACAAUCACUUAUAAGUUGAUUAUCUACUAUUAGAUGAGCCAAGCCCUCAAGUAGUUCCUAAUUCUGGCGGCAAAAAGUACAAAUUUAUGAUUCUUCAGUCUCAGCAAGCCUAUAAUCGUACGAUUUUCUGAUAAGAGAGGCUGCCAUGAUAAUUCAAUCUUAAUUCUAUAGAAUGGAAGGGUACUACUGCAUGAAGAUGCCUAAAGUUGAAAACCGAAGCUAAAAUAUUAGCCGGUGAAGAUUUGGUUUAAAAAUCAACAUCUCUAGGCCUCCCUAACAGUUUAAGAGCAUCUUACCACUUUCAAGCACCCAAAUGCCUCGCGCUAACGUACUGAUACAAUCUUAUGGUAAUGGUACUCAUGCAUUCAAUGCUGCGGUAUAAGUAUCUGGUGCCUAAGCAGCACAAACAAAUAUAGAAUCCUCUAAAGGGAAUCGAGGAAACACAAUAUAGCUGACACAAGUUGUAUAGAGUGAUUCUACAGUUUUGGCGAGAAAAAUCAACAAGUGUUUGAUUGAUUAGGUGUGUUUCUCAAGCAUAGGUUGCAUAAUAAUUGAUAAACUUUCUCUUGUAACAUUGUUAAUAUUUAAAAGAAUAUCAAAAGCUGCAGAAGUUUAUGAAGAGCUUACAUCGAACGGUGUGAGCUGUCCAGCUUCGCAGGAGCCUAACUCCUUCAAAAGCUGGGAUGCUCGUCUCCCAUACAUUUUCUCUUCACGCCUGUAACCUUGUAACAACCUGAAGAAUAAAGGAGUAGAGUAGUUAAAGGAGUAGUAGUAAAAAUGUCAACUUUACACAGUAAGAGUAGAGAUAAGGGCAACAGCAGGGUGGAGAGGAGCGAGCUCGGUGUUAUAUCCCGGACUCGCCACAACCGCCGAUGAUGAGAAUUCGCUGAGGAGAGGAUGGCGGCGGGGAUGAUGGUGCUUCACAGAUCGGCCGCAACCCUUUGACCACUACUAGAUUCUGUCGGAGACCUCCUCCCUUGCCCUAAUCUCGCUACCGAACUCCUCUCCACACCGCCUCACCAUUCUUCUCCCUGCUCCUCAUAGGUCCAGCCGUUACACUCGGCGGUGCAGGUGGAACUCCGGCGGGAAGCGACUACGAAAGGGCUCAGGCGCUGACAGAGUAGAAGGUGCAGCAGGUUGCUCCGGCGGGAAGAGCCUUCGAAGGGGUUCAGGCGCUGGCGGAGUAGAACCGGAGGCGACUAGGGUAUAGCCGGAGACGGAGACAGAGAGGAGAGGAGAUAGGGCAGGGCGGAAGAGAGAUCCGACCAAAUCUACAGAUUUUUGGGGGGAAAGUAGUAGGCGGAUCGGGCGUAAUCAGUGGAUACAUAUAUUACCCUAAUUCUGCAUUGGUGAUGCACAUGAUUAAGCUGGUACUCUAUUUUCUUUAUUUGUCGUUCUUUCCUUUUAUUUGGGGGGUAAAAAAAUAUAGAUAUGAACUAUGGACCAUUUUGAAUCUACUACCCAACCUUUUAAAAUUUUGAUUUUACUACUCAAGCUUUCAAUUUGUUUGAUUUGAGUCACUCAACGACACUUUAACUUCAAAAUUUAAACUAAUUUCUUUCUUUAAUAAAUCUAUAAUUGCAAGAAUUGCAUGAAAUAUACUAAUUAAACCUGUAAAAAAUAAUCGACGCACUCAAAUUUUGAAGUAAAAGUGCCGACUCAAAUCAAACAAACUGAAAGGCAGAGUAGUAAAAUCAAAAUUUUAGAAGGUUGGAUAACCACCUCAAAAUGGUCCAUAGUUCAGCCAAGUUUUGUAUGUUUUUACCUUCUUUUUUUUUUUUUUUUUUAAAGAACUGUACUGUUUAAUCCUGAUAUGUAUGCAAUGCAACGAAACAUGCAUUAAUGCUAUAAAAAAUUAACAAUGAUUGCCUCUUUUCUACUCUACUUUAAACAGGAAAAAAAAAUUACUUCUUGGAGAAAUUACUUUAGGGAACAGAUCAAAUUUAAAGGAAAAUUUAUAAAAAAAAUCUAAUACAACUGUAUAAGAAAUGGAUUUAUUCUUCCCAAAGAUAAAAAAUCCACAUAAAAGCAUAAUCUAUCGCACAAAUUUCCUAGAUUUAAACCUUUAAAUCACAUAAAAACCCUAGAUGUAACGAAUCCAAGUGAAAGAUAUCUACAUCUCUCUCUCUCUAAAAUCUCACCUGAAUCGUGAUGUCGCAAUUGAAGAAGACGCGGCUGCGGCGAUCGAGAUGCUCCACCUCCUCCUCUAUGGUCGAGCCACAGUGAUCGGGAACCCCAGUGGGUGAUUUGAGAGAACCGCUCCACUCAUGUAGCCCCCCAAGGGAAUCCGAAUCUGAUUAGGGUUAGGGUUAGCGCCAGAGCGAGAGAGGAGAGAGAGAGAAAGAGGAGCUUCGCGAAACGGGGGAGAUGAUCAAGGCCUUUUCUUCAUUUUAAUUUCUUUCAUAGUUUAAUUGCACUUUAGUCCCUACAUUUUCAACAUUUAUAUUUUGCUCCUUAAUUUUCUUUUAUUUUUAUUUGAGCUAUUUUAAAAGACUAUUUCCCUGAAUAUUUAAAUUUGGAGAUAAAACCUUCUCGACGCCACGUAAGCAUGGUUUACGAAAUUUUUUAAAUAUAAUAAAUUAUUUAUUAAUAUUUUUUUAUAAAAAUUAUAACUGGUUCAUUAAUUCUGUCAUAAUUUCUAACUGACAUAAAAAAAAAAUAUCAAAAAACGGUGAGAACGGUCAAGAAAAAACAUUAAAAAUUUAUUAAUAAAAAGUGAUAAAUAAUUCAUUAUUUUGUUAUAAAAAGUAUUGAUAAAGGAAUAAAUCAUUUACAAUUUUUCAAAAAAAAAAAAAAGUGCCAACAAUCCUUUUCUUUUUUUUUUUCAUUUCUUAUGUAUUCAAUCUAAUACUUACGCGACACUAAUGUGACAAAAAGUAAACUAGUUCUGCAGGGUUAGAUUACUAACUUUAGAAUUUUCAAAGAUUAAUUAUUUUAAUCUAUUUGUCAGAAAUUAAAAAAAGCCACUCUUUUAUGAGCACACUAGCGCUCUCAAUUUUAAUGUUAACCAUUAGGCUUUCUAAAUUUUAUCACAUAAUCAAUUAAAGUGGCUAAUUAUAUAGUCGUUUUUGUCGCACAUCUUUUAUAUAUAUAUAUAUAUAUAUAGAACUAGGCUAAUAUACUAUUAAUAACACUAAGUUAUUGAUGCUACCAAGUUUUUGGCCAUUGGAUUAAGAGAUGUGCGGUUAGGAUGAUGUGGGCCUUCAAGGGUUGAGUGGGUGGUUGGUUGAAUAGUAUGAUCUAACGGAUGAAAAUGAUCAAAAGGAUAGAUCUAACGGCGGAAAACUUGGUAGCACCAAGUGCUUCAUGCUAUUAAUAGCAUAGUAGCCGGACUCUAUAUAUAUAUAUAUAUAUAUAUAUAUAUAUAUUCUUAUAAAAAGUUUUAAAACACUUUUUUUGUUCAUUUUAAUGCAUGAGAAUAGUAAUAAAAAUUGAAGAUAGGUAAUAAAAAUUACUGAUUAGUGAUCUUGAUUAACAAGUGUGACUUGUUAAACUAUCUGAGAAAGGUCUAACUAUCAAAAUUAAAAGUAUGAGAGUCUAUUUAUAAAAAUGCUAUAAACUUUAGAAGGUCUUUGAAUACUUUUUUUUUCUUUUAUUUAAAUAUUUAGAUUCUAAUUUUUAUAGUUUCUUUUUUUUAUAAAAUUUCUGUCAUAGAAAAUAUUCCCUAAAAUCCAAGUGGAAGAGUGAAAGUAGCAUUUUUUUUUUUACUUCUGGGGUAAUUGCACCAUUGGUCCUCAUCUUAACACUUCUUUUAUUUUGCUCCUUACCUUUUUUUAAUUUUCUUUUUUAUAAUAAGAUUCGUUUUUUAAUGGCAUUUUUAAAAAAUUUUGUCAGCAAAAAUUUCUGUUUAAUCAAAGUACAAUUUGAGUUCACAUCAAUAACAAAAUGUGACAAUUUUCGUCCAAUUUUACGACGUAAACCAAAAAAAAAAUCUCAAAAUUGCUUGCGUCUUUCACUGAACAAGCCUGAUUGUAGCAGUUCAUCUUCUUAACUGUGAUCUGAUUCAGCUUCCUCACAAAGCUGCUGUCCUUAUUAGCAGCUUUUGAGGGAAUCAUUAGGGCAGCCAAAUUUAUCUCAACAUAAAAAACAAACAUUUCUGUACAAGUCCACAGCAGUGUCAGCAUUGCAGAAAUUGCCAGCAGAAAACAUUCUUCAUGUCAGUUCCUCUCACAAUAAAAAUCUAUCAUGAUCUUCAUUAUUUCAAGCAAUGUGAACAUGACAGUCUGAGAUGUAUCCAUUUGUGCAGCAGCAAGUUCAGAAAACUGCAGUUUAGUAUAUCCGAAAACAUCAAGAACAGCAAAAAUGAUGAUCUAUCAAAAUGUGAAUUGUAGGAUAAUAAGAUACAUAUACAAAACAUAGACCCAAAAUAUUAUACCAUAAAGCAAUCCAUCUCACGAAAACAUGCGCAUCGUCAGCAAACGAAACCCAAAAUACAAGCACGCAACCGAGUAAUUACUUACAUUAAAAAGACGAAGAAACAAAAGAUCAUAAAACACGUAUCUUGAAGAUGGAUUGCUGCUUCUUAUGCGCAGCAGCGCUUGCGUAUAAGAACUCGCAUUUCCCCGCUAGAUAUUAGCUGAAAGAUGCAUUUAUCUCCCUCCUCCAAGUUAUUCCCCACAGCAAACUCCCUCCACCCUCGAUGAAUCCGGCUCUCGCUUUUCCCAUUCCAUAAUGUCACAGGCCAUGAUCUCUUUUUCGGAUCUUUAAGUACAAUCUCCCUCCUCAGGAGCCCGAACGACGAAUGGAAACUCUUUGGAACACUCUACGUAAUUCAAUCGAGUUUCAGUUAAGCACAUAAGUAAUUGGACUGUAAUCGUUACGAACUGUUCUGUUAAGAACGUAGCGAACUAACCAGGAACAAGCGACGACGAACGUUUCCGCUGACGUUGCAAGAUCUCAUUAUCUUCUCAAAAUGCGGUGGACACGGCGCGGAGUUUUCGUUCUCAACCGAUUUCUUCUUUGCUGAAAAACCCGGCGGAGUGCGCGGCUCUUCGGUACCGUGCUGAUCAUCUGAAUGACACUUACAUGCAAAGUAAAUAUCGUCACAUGAGAAGAUUUGGCAAUUACUCGAAAUACUCACAACUACGAAUGUCAUCGCGGUUUUCAUCUUUGGUUUCACCCGAACUUCUCUUCGAAACUCCGUGGACGAUCUUACCGCGCAGCUUACAGCAUCCGCUCGUGUUGAACACUUUGGCCUUGAAGACCAUGUUUCCUUCGUAGCGAAACAGAACGAAAUCGCCUGCGACUAAUUCGUGGGCCUGCGAGAACUCACGCCAGCCAUUGUCGAAGUACAGUCUGUUAUCUCCAUCUCUGACGAGAGUUACGUGCCAAAACUUGCCGAGGGGGCUAAACAAGGUUGCAGUUGCACUACGCUCUUUCGUGAGAAGCUCGGCAAUCGGACGAGGAAUGGGCUGCAAUAAAAUAUCAAAUGUGAAUCACUCCUAUUUCUUCUCAAGAAAGUUAACAAACUGCGCAUAAUAGUACCGUCCUGUCGUUUAUUCGCAAGUCCGAUUCGCGUUAAAAGCUUGAUUCGAUGUCUAAACAUCUUGUUCGUAAUACAUUCUCUUCGUUACGUUAUCUUGAAAAACAUGACUACAAUCACAAAAGAAAAUCGUCCUAAUGUGCAAGUUAUCACUUCAGAAGUUAUCGUAACAUCAGAAUAGAAGCUAAAAUCGACCACAUAUCGAAGGCGCAUUAAUACUCGACUAAUUGGUGAACUUUAGGGAUGCUUUUACUUUUACUUUUGGUUCUUUUGAUUCGAGUUAUUUUGAUUAGUCAAAUUGCGAGGUUUGGAAUUUAAUUGCUGUAAUGGCUUUUUAGCUUAUUGAACUGCAACUUUUUUGACUGUCCAAAAUUUGAUAGCCUAUAGUUGAGGGGUCUAUUUCAAAAUAACCUAUAGUUGAGGGGUUCCCCAUUACAUUUUGACAAUUCCUUUUUUUGGCUAUAUUACAAAAAACCCCUCACACUUUGCUCUGUGUCCUACUACAGGACUACACCACUGCCUCAAAUUUGUCAAAUUAUGAGAUGAUUAUUGGAAAAUCUCCUCUACUAGAGCCACCAAAAUUGACAAUUUAUUGAACAAUUUUGGUAAUAAUGUAUGGGUACUCCCUCAACUAUAGGACAUUCUGAAAUAGACCCCUUAACUUUUUUUUAAAUUUAUAUUUACACUCCUUUAACUUCUAAGUUUUUGUAUUUGAGUUUUUACAGUUAAUCAAAAUUCUAUGGAUUUAUUAGCUAUUAACAGUGAAUUAAUCAAGCUUUAUUCGCUGCAAAGUAACUUGAACUAUAGAAUGUGAUGAACUUAUUAUCAAUCAAUUUGGUAAAAUUCCGCAUUUAUUCUGCUAAAGUCGCUCAAUUCCAUACAAUUUACCAACAAUUUUUACCAACUUUAUCCACCAACCUAUUUAUCAAAAUAUUUGCAUCUGAAUUCAGCAAUCAUUUCAAAUUCUCGAACGUACUCGAGAUACAAUAAAGUGAAUCAGCGACGUGGUUCUUUAUUAGUAAUUUACCUUCUUAUUUUCAACCCUAAAUAUAUGGAAAUCUGUUCCAUGGGAAACACACUGUCCAAUAAUCUCCGUUUUUCCCAACCACAAAACUUUUCCAUGAAUUCUAAAAAAGAAAAAAAUCAGAAAACUGUCUCUAAAGCUAAGGGACUAUUUGGUUUCUCGAAAAAAGACCUUUCCAUGAAAAACAUGUCUUUCAGUUUUCUGCCCAUUUCAUUUGAAAAAAAAAAAAAAAAAAAUUAAAACUAGCUUUUCUGGAUUUUUUUUUUCCAAAUUUCUUGAAAAACUACUGUGCCGUUUUUCGGGAAACAAAAAAUCAGAAAAAUAAAAACACUGGUUUUCCAUAAAAUAUGAAUUUUUUUAAAAAAAAAAAACUAGUUUUUCUCGGAACCAAAAGGCCGGAAAUUUAGAAAAGAAUUUUUUUCUCAAUAUUUUUUUUUUCAUACUUUUUCGAGGAACCAAACAUCCCGUAAACAGACGACGAAAAAAUACUUUUCCAGUCAGAAAACUAAGGGAUCCAAAACACCCUACUUUUUCCCUUCAAAAGAGUUAGGAAUUACAAGCACAUCUCUUCUAGCUCCCAAAUGAUUCAUACCAUUUUUCUUUUCUUUCAUAUUACAGCAUCCACACUUCCAAGAACUUGAAAAGAAAGCUAAUGAAACUAACAAUUCAGUGCACAACUAAGAAAACAAGCCCCAACUCAUUAGAAACAUUAGAUUUAUAUGGAUUGAGUAGUAGUAGUAGAAGUAGAAGUAGAAGAAGAAGAAGUAUAUAUAAAUAGAUAUAUAUAGAUAAAUAUAUAUAUACCAGCUUUUGGAGAAACUCAGGUGGGAGCAGCAGGACAAACUGAGGCCUGUGAUUCUGAGAGCCCAUUUCUGCAUGACUGCAUGAAGCUUCCACCCUGUGAAUGGCUCUUUGGCUUCUAAGGGAAGUGCUUUUUUCCAAUAGAAAGAGGAAGAGAGGGCUCAAAACUCCAAAAGGAGUGGGUUCAUGUACUCUACUCCCCCCCAAAGGUUGCUUCUCGGAGGUUAGAAAUUUUUUUUUGGCUUUUUUUUUAUUUUUUAUUUUUUAACUUUUAGCUUUUUCAGAAUUUUUAUUUUCAUAAAUUACCCCACAAAAUUUAUAUAUAUAAAAGAUUUACACAACUCCCUCCACACAAAUGCCACGCUCGUUAAUAAGUAAACACACUGAAUGAUUCACCGUCUGCCUUUCAUGUUUUACUUAAAUCGUGUCUUUUCUACAUUUACCGUGUUUAUUAUAUUAAACGUUGUAUAAGUUAAGUCACAGUAAAUUAUUUGCCGUGUUUGGACACCUUAAAUGUUUUAUUAUGUUCAACUUAAUUUUUUUAUACUCACGUGGCACUUGCAUGAUGGUGAUAGGGUCAAUUUUGUAAAUAUAAAUUUUGUGGGACUAUCUGUAAUUUUUUUUUGAGGGGGCUAAAUAAAAAAAGCUCUUUUUUUUUUCUAAAAAUAGGCAUAGAAUGGAUAAACUUCAAAUACCACCCUUGUGGUUUCGCACUUUUUUCACUUUAGUAUCUUAUAAUUUAAAGUGUAUCAUUUUAAUUAUUAUCAUUUUUCUCUUUCUGUCGGUGCCUCCAUUAACUCUCCGUUAAAUUAUGUACGAAGACCUCCGUGCUCCUAAUAGCACACAAGACCUACUAUAUAUAUAUAUAUAUGGGUUAUUUGCAUACACGUCCCUGCAAACAUAGUGAAUUGCAGAAAUAUCCCUGCAAAACGAAAAUUUCAUAAGUUGUCCCUGCAAAAGUCCUAAGUUAUGCAGAUAUGUCCCUCUAGUUGAAAUCUAUUAGAAAAUUGUUAAUUUUUUAACAAUUUUCUUGUGAAAUGACUUUUUUAUCCUCACAAAUAUAUCCCUCCAAAAUAUUUCUCUUUCCCUUCCCUUUCUCUCCCUCUUUGGGCCACCGGAGUGGACGGCGGCGGCGGCGGCGCGGGGUUGGGUUCGCCGGUGACGAAGAAGAGGGAAGAGAAAGAAGGAGAGGAAGAAAGAGAAGAAGAGGGAAGAGGAAGAGAAAGAGGGAGAGGGUUUGCUUUCACCGCCGCCGCCGCAUCUUUUCCUUCGUCGGUGACGAAGAAGAGGGAAGAAGAAGAGGGAGAGGAAGAAAAAAUGCGAAGAGGAAGAGGGAAGAGGGAGAGGGUUCGUCGCCGCUGUCACUACAUCUUCUCCCUCGCCGGCGACGAAGAAAAGGGAAGAGGAAGAAGGAGAGGAAGAAGAAGGGGGAAGAGGAAGAGGGAGAGGAAGAGAGAAGAGGAAGAGGAAGAGGAGGAGGAGGUUCGCCGCGCUGUCGCCGCGCUGUGCCGUGCCCGUCGCCAUCGCCGCUGCUGCCGUACGAGGAAGAAGAUAAAGAGGAAGAGGAGAAAAAGGAAGAAGGGUAAACUAUCAAUUUACGUUAUUAAUUAACCAUGGUUAAAUUUUUAACUCGUGUGUUAACGAAAUUUUUUAACAGACCUUAAACAGUAGGACAUUAUCUACAUAACUAAAGACUUUUGCAGGGACAACUUAUGAAAUUUUCGUUUCGCCAGGAAUAUUUCUGCAAUCACUAUGUUUUGAAGGACGUGUAUGCAAUAACCCAUAUAUAUAUAUUAUAUAUAUUAAUAUAUAUAUAUAUAUGAAUUGGCUGGAAUAGCUAUUAAUAGUAAAACGCUCUUUUACUAUCAAUUUUUUAACCUUGGAUGAAAAAUUAUAGGGUCAGGAUGAUAUUAGUCGGUUAGAGUUGAGUCCUCAUAGGGUUGAGUGGUCCCCUGGAUUAUAAUAUUUAAUCCAAUGGUUAGAAAUAAUGAAAAGAGUUGAUCCAAAGGCUAAAAAAACUGGUAGCAAUAAUAAAAUUUUGUACUAAUAGUAGCCCAGUCAACUCUAUUAUAUAUAUAUAUAUUAAAGAUAUAUAGUAUUAAAUUCUAAAAAUUGUUUAAGUAUCUUAUUUUAAAAAAAGCGGUGAAAAAUUUACCAUAUUUAAAAAGCAAUAAUUCGUUUGCCGCAUAAGCUUAAUUUAUAAAUAAAAAAUUUUUUAAAAAUAGUUUAAUAAUUAUAAUUUUUUAAGUCGAUUAAUUAACAAAAUUUCACUUCGGAAAUAAAUGGGAAUUGAGUAUGAUCUGUUUGUUUGAGAAGGUGGAGUUCAGAUUAGAUAUUUGAAAAAACUAUAGCUCAAAUAAAGAUUUUUUUGUUUUUAUUUGUUUGAAUAGUUAUGGAACUGAAAUUUUCCAGUUUUAUUGUUUAUUUAGCAAAAAAUAAAUAACGUACAAAAUUAGAGAUGUAAAAAAUGCAUAAUAUUUUUUACAUUUUUUUUCAUAAUUGGCUUCGGCCUGGAAUGGGAAGAAGUCAAAUUACACUAUGGGCAUGCAGGAAUCGAACAUCCAUAAUUCACUCUAAUAAGCGUAUAGACACAACAUUCAUGGGUCUCGAUUGUAACUUGACCCAACCAGAUCUCCUGUCAUCUCGAACGUAACUCUGCCCAACUUGGCCUCCCACCAUAGGGAGGAAUGGGCAUGCAGGAAUCGAACUCAUGACUUCUAGCUUUGAUACCACUUGUUGAAUCGUUGACGCUAACCGUUAAUCCCAAAAACUUAAGCUGCACUUUAAGCGUAUAGAUACAACAUCCAUGGGUCUCGAUUGUAACUUGACCGAACCAGAUCUCCUGUCAUCUCGAACGUAACUCUGCCCAACUUGGCCUCCCACCAUAGGGAGGAAUGGCCAUGCAGGAAUCGAACCCAUGACUUCUAGCUUUGAUACCACUUGGUGAAUCGUUGACGCUAAUCAUUAAUCCCAAAAACUUUAAGCUGUUUAGAAAUACGCAACCAAUUCACUUAAAGCAUAUAGGCACAGCGCCCACGGGUCUCCAUUGUGACUCGGCCCAAUCAGCCUCGCGCUACUUCGAACAUGACUCAACCCAAUCUGACCUCUCGCCAGUUCAAAGGUGAUUCGGCCCAACUUGGCCUCCCACCACAAGUUAGGAUGUUGACACAUUUAAGCCAACACAAUAUCUCAGUAAGUUACUUAGUUGUAUCAUAUAAUUUUAGUAUAUAAUAAUAAUGAUGGAAUAGUAAAGGUGCUAGAUUAAGUGCUAUAAUUUUAAACUUUAAAAAGAUAAAAUAGAGAUUUUUAAAUGAACAAGGGAGGGGUUUUAUGCAUUUUACCCAUUAAAUUUUUAAGAAGACAAAAUAUAAAUUUUUGAGCAUUUAAUCUCUAAUUCAUCCAAACACUACAAUAGGGAGUGAGUUUAUUUAAUCCCCCUCUUAACGGGUUAUUCUAGAAUAACCUGUUAAGAGGGGGAUUUGUUGUUCCACCCUUUUGGUGGAAUAACAAAUUUUUUUCUUUAUACCUCUACUAGUUUAAUAAUAAAAUAUUAUUAAUUAAUAUAUUAUAUAUAUCAUUUUAUUAACUAAUUAGCUAAAUUAAAAAUUAACUAAUUUAAUAAUAAAAUAUUAGCUAAAUUAAUAAUUAUUUAUUAGUGUGUUUAUGCAAUAACUAAUAUCUUUAUUGAUUAAUAAAUUAAUAUUUUUACCAACAUAACUAAUUAAUUAAUUAAUUAAUAACUAAUAUAUUUAUUUAUUAGCCUAAUUUGUAACUUAUUAAAUUAUUUAUAGUUAGAUAAUUUAUUAAUUAAGAGUACUCAUGGUUAAUUGAUUAAUGAUUAAUUAAUCUGGUAAUUAAUGUAUUAAUUAACAUUUAUGAUUAUCUAAUAAUAUUCAUGAUAAAUUAAUUUUUUUAAAUUAUAAAUUUGAGAUUUUAAAAUUUUAAAAUUUAAUUUUGAUUUUUAAAAUUUAAAAGUUUAUAUUUAAAUUUAAAAAUAUAAAUAUAAAAUAUAAAAAUUCUAAUUCUAAUAUAAAGAAAAGAAUAAUAUUAUUAUUUUUUAUUUAUCUACCCACUUUAAUUCUUAUUCCAUCUUACCUAACCAAACGUUAUUUUUCUUAUUUUCAGGAAUAACCUAAUUUUCAUUCAAACGCAAAAUUGAUCUAAUCCCCGCGUAUACCUUAAUUUAUACCUAUCUCCCGCGUAUACCUUAAUUUAUACCUAUCUCCAGAAUACCCACUUUUUGCUUAUUCUCGAACCAAACGAUACCUAAGCUAAUAGAAAAAAGAUUUUUAAGAUUUUGUAUUCAACACUGCUUAGCUUAGGUGGGAAUUUUGGUCUAAGACAUGUAACUUCGAAUUAAAUUGGCGAUAUUUGAGUAAAACUUCGAGCUUAAAAACUCCUGCUCUGGUACUCACAAAAUAAUCGUGUUUCUGAAAGCUUAAGCUAAGAAAAAAAUUUUUAAUCAUUUAUAUUUAACACUAUCUAUUAAUUCUCUAAGAAUUAGCUUAUAUUAAUAUAUCCAAUAAUUUCUUUAUGGCUCAGAUUUCGAGGUCCAAAAAAAAAAAAUAUAUAUAAUAUAUAUAUAUAAUAUAUAUAUAUAUAUAUAUAUUUGGAUUGCUGUUGCUGAAACUUAUCUGAUGGCAUAUGGCAGACCUCUGUUGCAUUUUGUUACGCAUGAGGGACAUGUCAAUGAUAAAUUCAUACAAACUACUAGAUCAAAUCACAAUCAUUGUUUUAAGCUCUAACGAAAACUCGAUUCUUUAAUUCUCCCGUGCGACGAAUCAAAGCAAUACCAAAACCAUAAAGCAUUAAUCCAUCUAAUGAAAAACUCGUAAUCGUCGACAGUUUAAGAUAGUUCCAUCCAGCAUGUAGGCCAAGAUUACAAACUAUGACUAGAACAUGAAACGAAGGAUCGAACACAGAACUCGAAGAUAAGCUGCAGAUCGAACACAGAACUCGAAGAUAAGCUGCAGUUACGCACGGCGUUUUGUAUCAGAACUCGCAGUAUUCCGUCAAGACGAGCUGAAAGGUGCACUUAUCUCCCUCUUCUAACUUAUUCACUGCAGAAAACUCCUUCCACCCCGACAGCAAUCGGCUGUCGCUUACGCCGUGCCACAACUUCACAUGCCAUGAUCUCCUCUUCGGAUCUUCGAGCACCAUCUCCUCCUUCCUCGUGAGUCUGUUCGAACGCGCAAAACUUCCUCGGCACGCUCUACAUCAAGUAGUUCUGCACCAUUUAAGCAUAAACACUCGAUGAAUCGAAAUUAAACUAGCUCGACUUUACGAACUGACCAUGUGACCGCAGGAGAAGUUGUAAGGUCUAAUGAUCUUCUCAAAAUGAGGUACGGUUCUCGCACGGUUGUUCUUCGUCGCUGAUUUAUCCGUCGCCAGAAAACCUGGCGGAGUCUGCAGCUGUUCUUUCGGUGCUGUCGGUUUCCCUCUCUUUCUGCGACCUGUCGAGAGAUUCUGCCAAUCAUCUGAGUUACACAUACCUGCUGAUAUGAGAAGAUUAAGUAACUGCUCAGAACAAAAUGAAACCAGCAAUUAGUCCUCACCGUCGCAAACAUCUUCGAGGAUCUCAUCUUUUGCGCCGAAUGAUCUUUUUUCUGAGAUUGCUCUAUCAUACUGUUUGCGACAUCCAGUUACGUCGAACACCUUGACCUUGAAGACCAUGUUUCCCUCGUAGCGAAACAAGAGGAAGUCGCCCGCGGUAAAAUCGUGGGCUCGCGAGAACUCUCGCCAACCGUUGCUGAAGUGCGUAUUGUCAUCUGCAUCUUUCUCUAGGGCAAUGUGCCAAAAUUUGCCGAGAGGGCUGAACAGAGUUGCAGUUCCAUUGUGCUGAUGCAUGAGGAGCUGCGCAAUUGCAUCAGGAAUCGGCUGCAGUAAGAUGAAUAGGGUGAUUCAGUUUACUAACUUUUCGACACAUAAUUCGAAUACUGGUUUUACGCGAAAAUUAACUCUCUGAUUUGAAUUGAUCAUUCAUAUACUUCUGCUGCUUUCAUUUGCAUGAAAAUCUGCAUGCAGAUGAUCACAGAUCGAAGUCUGUAAAAGUUCGAGAUUAAAGGCCUGAAAUUCUGAGCAUGAAAUUUUCAGAUCUGAUGUACAGACUGCGAAUAAUUUUAUGUUAAAAUCAUAUUCUGAAGCUACCAAUACAUUGAUCAGAUAUGAAAUAACUGUCCCUUGAAAUCCUUUGUGAAAAUUUCUUAUGUGAUUAGAAACAAGGAGUUUGAUGUUUAGUCGAUUUGUUUUUUUUUUAAAAAAAUGAACUCAGUUAGGAAUGUAAAGCAACUAGAAUUCGAAUUUGAGACCUCAGGUACCAACCAGUAACCCUUAGUCAACUGUGUUAGGUACGGUCGAUUGCUCCUUAAAAAGUCUUGGUUUAUUUCCAUAAUUUGGCAUAAUAGUAUAUUUUAAGUAAUUUAUUUUAUUCUCGAAAAAUUUUACUUGAAAAUUAGAUAUACUAUUUUAUUCUAAACAUUUAAUCACACUCCUGACUACAAAAUACUGAAAACUUCUUAAGUAAACUAAAGAAAUUUUCUGAACAAGAUAUUCAUGCAACGCCAAUCGUUUUAGUGCAAGUGGUAAAGUGUUUGAUGGUUAAUACUCGAGGCUCCAAGUUUGAAAUCUAGUUGCUUUACAUUUCCAGCUAAAUUUAUUUCUAAAAAAAUGAAUGAAGCGGAAGCCUACUACAUUUCUCUCUCUCCAAAAAAAAAAAAUUCAUACAUCCAAACCAGAUUUACACAUACAUGGUUUCAUAAAUAAACUAUUCAGAGGUUAAUAGUUUAUAGAACACAUUGUACAAAAACCCACCUCACUUCCCCUUCUCAAUUUCCUAAGCCAUUUUAAGCCAAAAGCAAUUUCCAGAAGCUGGAAAAUUACUAUAAAAGGAGGAGCACUACUUUAAGCUAAGAAAAAAAAAUAAUCACAAUUAUGGUGAUAAUUUCAGAGUAUCAGUGAUACAUGAUGAAUGAGGUAUACAUAUUAAAGAGUAAUCACUAACUAGUAAGAGAAAAAAUAAGAAGAAAAAAGAAAUAUGUAUUAAUUACAGUACCAGCUUUUCCAAGAACUCUGGUAGAAGCACUUUCACAAACUGUGGCUUAUUAUGGGACCCCAUGAUACUGAACUCCACUUGUUAAUUGUGUGUGGGCACUGGGGAUAUAUAUAUUUUGCACAUCACAAAGAAGUGUUUUUUUUUUUUUUUUUUUUUUUUUUUUUUUUUUUGGUGUGUGUGUGAAAACAAAUGAGUUGGAAUAUGGGUGCAGUAAAAGGCUUGUUUCACAUGUGAAAGGUUGUUUUUAUCUAAUUAUUGUCCUUUUGCUGCUGCAGGAAACUGUGUGACACUUGCUUUACUAGAUGCUUGCUAUUAAUAUAUAAGAUAAACUUCAAAUAUCCCCACUAUGGUUUCACAUUUUUUGACUUUUAGUACUCUAUAGUUUAAAGUAUAUCAGGUUAGCCUCUGUGGUUUCGUACUUUCUCACUUUAGUACCCAUUAGUUUAAAGUGUAUCAAGUUAGUACCUUGUGGUUUCAUUUUUCUCUUUUUAUUAUCCAUUUCACUAAUUUAUGUCGUUAAAUUAGUGACAAAGUUAAAAUUAAAGGGUACUAAAGUGAAUAUUCGAUAAAUCUAGGUAGAGUAUCUGAAGUUUUUUUUGUAUAUAAUUUAACGAAAUAUUAACGAAGUAAAAAAAAAAUCAGUGACAAAGUUAAAACUAAAGGGUAUUAAAGUAAAUAUUUGGUAAACCUGGGUAGGGUAUUUGAAGUUUUUUGUAUAUAAUUUAACGAAAUAUUAACAGAGGAGCCAACAAAAAGAGAACUUAAACCACAGGGUACUAAAUUGAUGCACUUUAAACCACAAGGUAUUAAAUUAAUUUUAAAUAUAAAUAUUAAAUUAAAAUAAAGUCUGAAUCUGUAUUUUGAAUUUAACUGGUUAUUGGUGGCAUAGUUUAUUUUUAAUUGAUUUAUUUUUUAAAUUUAAGGGCUUUUUUUGCAUUUAGACCCCUGACAAAUUUUUAUUUCAAAAAUAGUCCUGUCAAAAUUUAAUUUGCAAAAAUGGCCCUCGGCCUGCCACGCAGGCGCCACGUCAACGCCACGCGGGCAGGGCUGGGCCCGUGUGUUAAGUUGAACACGGUGAACCAUUCACCGUGUUCAAACACGGUGAAUGGUUCAUCGUGUUUAGUACGUAUUUUUUGUUACCUAUUUUUUGUAUAUUGAAAAGUGGAAUAAGGAGUAGGGAUGUCAAUAGAUAUGGAUAUCCGAAAUAUUACCCGAAUUCAAACCCGAAUAAAUUAUAUAUAUACAUAUAUACAUAAUUUAUUUUUAUUUAUUUAUACAAUAUAUAAAAUAUUUAAUAAUUUUAUUUCUUAGAUCUUCAUCCAAUCCAGCGGGUUUUAAAAAUCUAUACCGUUGGAUAAAGAUCUAAGGAAUAAAAAUUAUUAAAUAUUUUAUAUAUUGUAUAAAUAAACAAAAAUAAAUUAUAUAUAUAUAUAUAUAAUUUAUUCGGGUUUGGAUUCGGAUAAUAUUUCGAAUAUCCAUAUCUAUUGACAUCCCUAUUCCUUAUUCCACUUUUCAAUAUACAAAAAAUACGUAAGAAAUACGGUGAACCAUUCACCGUGUUUAGACACGGUGAAUGAUUCACCGUGUUCAACUUAAUACCCUGGCCCCAGCCCUGCCCGCGUGGCGCUGACGUGGCGCCUGCGUGGCAGGGACAGGGCCAUUUUUACAAUUUUAAUUUUGAUAGGGCUAUUUUUAAAAUAAAAAUUGCUCAGGGGGCUAUUUGCAAAAAACCCCUAAAUUUAAUUUGUUUCUAAUCCAAUUUAGUUAUGCUAUAAAUAUUUUUUAUAUGUGUUCCAUAAUAUACAAUUUUUAACGUAUAUCCAAAAUUUAAAAAUUAAUUUGAUUUUAAAAUUUAAAUUAAAUUUGAAUUUAGAUUUACAUAUUUGAAUCAAACUCAAAAUCUAAAGUUAAUUUUGAAUUCAUUAUUUAAAUUUAAAUUAUUGCUUUUUUGGUAGGUAUUUUUAAACCGUUCAUUUUUUUAAACAUGACUUAUUUUUAGUUAGUUAAUUAUAUAAUUUUUUUAUAAUGUAUAUAAAAUAUUACUUUAUUUCAUCUAAGAUUCCGUUUGUCAAUAAAAAAUUUUCUUUCUACCUUUUAUAUAUAGUAUAAAUAUGUCACGCCCCGGAUUACUCUUUUUUCCGGGCACGCUAACAGACCCGCCAUAUAUAUAGAAAUUUUUUCUGUAUACGAAGCAAAGCUGUAUCUGUAUCUGUAAACAGACAACACUACAACCAGUAGUAUAGAGCUGCUGAAAUAAAACAUAAAUAAGCAACUGAGAUUCACUAUACAUAUAUAACCUCCCAGUGUACAAAAGAUCACUCGCUCCAGUGAGAUACAACAGCAGUAUGUAUAAUAACCCAAAAACUACAACUACUUUUA
rnacentral:lncRNA from 1 species